UGAUAGCGGCAAAGAACUUUUUGUUUUGUCGGCCGCUAAUUUCCUGAGGCUGCAUAGAUUCGGAGUGAACUCAGUGAAGGUUUAAUCUUCUGUGAUCUCACCAUGAGGGCGAAGUGGAAGAAGAAGCGUAUGAGGAGAUUAAAGAGGAAGAGACGAAAGAUGAGACAGCGAUCCAAGUAGUUUUGCGAACAAGCCUGGUUUUAUGUUUCUUCGCUUUUAGAAUCAAACUCUUUCGAGUUAUAAUUUGAAUGUUUUGUUGGACGAAAUUAGUAGACAUUAUUAUGCUUUCUAUUAAGAAUUAUGUUUAACACACGGAAAAAUUCGCAUGGGUUUCUUCUACAUUA